rnacentral:rRNA from 1 species
UUCCUACGGGAGGCAGCAGUGGGGAAUAUUGCACAAUGGGCGCAAGCCUGAUGCAGCGACGCCGCGUGAGGGAUGACGGCCUUCGGGUUGUAAACCUCUUUCAGCAGGGAAGAAGCGCAAGUGACGGUACCUGCAGAAGAAGCGCCGGCUAACUACGUGCCAGCAGCCGCGGUAAUACGUAGGGCGCAAGCGUUGUCCGGAAUUAUUGGGCGUAAAGAGCUCGUAGGCGGUCUGUCGCGUCUGCUGUGAAAACCUCAGGCUCAACCUGGGGCUUGCAGUGGGUACGGGCAGACUAGAGUGCGGUAGGGGUGACUGGAAUUCCUGGUGUAGCGGUGGAAUGCGCAGAUAUCAGGAGGAACACCGAUGGCGAAGGCAGGUCACUGGGCCGCAACUGACGCUGAGGAGCGAAAGCAUGGGGAGCGAACAGGAUUAGAUACCCUGGUAGUCCAUGCCGUAAACGUUGGGCACUAGGUGUGGGGUCCAUUCCACGGAUUCCGUGCCGCAGCAAACGCAUUAAGUGCCCCGCCUGGGGAGUACGGCCGCAAGGCUAAAACUCAAAGAAAUUGACGGGGGCCCGCACAAGCGGCGGAGCAUGCGGAUUAAUUCGAUGCAACGCGAAGAACCUUACCAAGGCUUGACAUGCACCGGUAACACUCAGAGAUGGGUGCCCCGCAAGGUCGGUGCACAGGUGGUGCAUGGCUGUCGUCAGCUC